UUGGGCUUGGUGCCUAGCUAGGUCACGUUUACUGAUGACUAUUUGCACCUAGCAGUGAUGCCAUCAUUGUCCCGAGGUAAGCAAUUCACUACCCUGCGGACCCUAUUUUCUUUUUUUCUUCUUCUUAACUUGUCAGGCUGCUAAGUAAAAUUGUGUAACUAGGCUAGGUGCUUGUCUAGAUCACGUAUACUAAUGAGUAAUCUAAUGCACAGGCGAGAGGCUCUGCUUGUAGCACCGACGCUACCAUAGUCCCGAGGCUCUGUCUGGCAAGACCAGAAGCUCUGUACCUAGCAGAUGCCGCCAUAGUCCCGAGGCACCGUCUGGCAAGGCUGCCCUCACGGCAAAAGAGGUUUAAUUUUGGCAGACGCCUUUCGUCAAGCAUGGUACUUUGGGCAAAUCAACCCAUCUGAAGUGCGAUACAAAAGUGCAACCAGUGGCAUUGCACCAAAGUUGCGAACUCUUCCAGUGCUUUGAC